rnacentral:rRNA from 1 species
AGCGCAGGCGGUGCGGCAAGUCUGAUGUGAAAGCCCGGGGCUCAACCCCGGUACUGCAUUGGAAACUGUCGUACUAGAGUGUCGGAGGGGUAAGCGGAAUUCCUAGUGUAGUGGUGAAAUGCGUAGAUAUUAGGAGGAACACCAGUGGCGAAGGCGGCUUACUGGACGAUAACUGACGCUGAGGCUCGAAAGCGUGGGGAAGCAAACA